rnacentral:sRNA from 1 species
UGAGUUCCGUACUGCGAUUGAGGAUGA